GUGUGUGCGCACACACACGAACUGGAAUGAUAGAGAGGAUUAGCAUGGCCUCUGCACAAGGAUGACACAUAAAUACAUGAAGUGUUCCAUACUUUU
rnacentral:snRNA from 1 species